GAUGAACGCUGCUACAGGCCUUAACACAUGCAGUUCGAGGGGAACGGCAUUGAGUGCUUGCACUGAAUGGACGUCGACCCGGCGCACGGUGGUAACGCGUACCAACCUUCCCGGUUACUGCGGGAUAACCUGCCGAAAGGCAGACUAAUACCGCAUGUUCUUCGAUGACGGCAUCAGAUUCGAAGCAAGAUCCGUCGGUAACGGAGGGGAUGCGUCUGAUUAGCUAGUUGGCGGGGCGACGGCCCACCAAGGCGACGAUCAGUAGGGGUUCUGAGAGGAAGGUCCCCCACAUUGGAACUGAGACACGGUCCAAACUCCUACGGGAGGCAGCAGUGAGGAAUAUUGGUCAAUGGGCGGAAGCCUGAACCAGCCCAAGUAGCGUGCAGGAGGACGGCCCUACGGGUUGUAAACUGCUUUUAUGCGGGGAUAAAGUGAGGGACGCGUCCCUUUUUGCAGGUACCGCAUGAAUAAGGAC
rnacentral:rRNA from 1 species